AACCUAUGGGGAAAAUGUUUCCUCUCCCCGCUGAUGUGAACACAAGAUUACUAAACGUUUUAGAUGUUCCACUUUCCCCCAGCUUGAUGCCAGUUGACGUUGCAGCUUCCUCACCUUUCCGCUUGAAAAACGACAUGACGGGUUUACUCCGAGCGUUUCCUCAGCUCGCUGACACCAUCCCGUGAGUUGACAGCUCCCGUCAUUCAAAUUUAUCCGCAAU